UACGUAGGUGGCAAGCGUUGUCCGGAUUUACUGGGUGUAAAGGGCGUGCAGCCGGAGAGACAAGUCAGAUGUGAAAUCCACAGGCUCAACCUGUGAACUGCAUUUGAAACUGGCAGUCUUGAGUACAGUAGAGGUGGGCGGAAUUCGUGGUGUAGCGGUGAAAUGCUUAGAUAUCACGAAGAACUCCGAUUGCGAAGGCAGCUCACUAGACUGCAACUGACACUGAUGCUCGAAAGUGUGGGUAUCAAACAGG
rnacentral:rRNA from 1 species